AGUCGACGGACUCUUCGGAGUUAGUGGCGGACGGGUGAGUAACACGUGGGAACGUGCCUUUAGGUUCGGAAUAGCUCCUGGAAACGGGUGGUAAUGCCGAAUGUGCCCUUCGGGGGAAAGAUUUAUCGCCUUUAGAGCGGCCCGCGUCUGAUUAGCUAGUUGGUGAGGUAAUGGCUCACCAAGGCGACGAUCAGUAGCUGGUCUGAGAGGAUGACCAGCCACAUUGGGACUGAGACACGGCCCAAACUCCUACGGGAGGCAGCAGUGGGGAAUCUUGCGCAAUGGGCGAAAGCCUGACGCAGCCAUGCCGCGUGAAUGAUGAAGGUCUUAGGAUUGUAAAAUUCUUUCACCGGGGACGAUAAUGACGGUACCCGGAGAAGAAGCCCCGGCUAACUUCGUGCCAGCAGCCGCGGUAAUACGAAGGGGGCUAGCGUUGCUCGGAAUUACUGGGCGUAAAGGGCGCGUAGGCGGACAUUUAAGUCAGGGGUGAAAUCCCAGAGCUCAACUCUGGAACUGCCUUUGAUACUGGGUGUCUUGAGUGUGAGAGAGGUAUGUGGAACUCCGAGUGUAGAGGUGAAAUUCGUAGAUAUUCGGAAGAACACCAGUGGCGAAGGCGACAUACUGGCUCAUUACUGACGCUGAGGCGCGAAAGCGUGGGGAGCAAACAGGAUUAGAUACCCUGGUAGUCC
rnacentral:rRNA from 1 species